UUCGACCUGAGCUCAGGCAAGAGCACCCGCUGAA
rnacentral:rRNA from 1 species